ACGAACGCUGGCGGCGUGCCUAAUACAUGCAAGUCGAACGAGAGCGACCGGUGCUUGCACUGGUCAAUCUAGUGGCGAACGGGUGAGUAACACGUGGGUAACCUGCCCAUCAGAGGGGGAUAACAUCCGGAAACGGAUGCUAAAACCGCAUAGGUCUUCGAACCGCAUGGUUUGAAGAGGAAAAGAGGCGCAAGCUUCUGCUGAUGGAUGGACCCGCGGUGCAUUAGCUAGUUGGUGAGGUAACGGCUCACCAAGGCCGUGAUGCAUAGCCGACCUGAGAGGGUGAUCGGCCACAUUGGGACUGAGACACGGCCCAAACUCCUACGGGAGGCAGCAGUAGGGAAUCUUCCGCAAUGGACGCAAGUCUGACGGAGCAACGCCGCGUGAGUGAAGAAGGUUUUAGGAUCGUAAAACUCUGUUGUUAGAGAAGAACAAGUGCUAGAGUAACUGUUAGCGCCUUGACGGUAUCUAACCAGAAAGCCACGGCUAACUACGUG
rnacentral:rRNA from 1 species